AACAUACGACUGCCGGACGAGGUGGAGAACCCAGGCAUGGCCAGCGGGAUGCUGGAGGAAGACUUGAUUCAAUAUUACCAGUUUCUGGCGGAGAAGGGAGACGUCCAGGCACAGGUGGGUCUGGGGCAGCUUCACCUACACGGGGGACGCGGAGUAGAG